rnacentral:piRNA from 1 species
AGGCUGGGCAGCGGUGGCGCACACCUUUA